rnacentral:rRNA from 1 species
UACAGAGGGUGCAAGCGUUGUUCGGAAUUAUUGGGCGUAAAGCGCGUGUAGGCGGCUAUGCAAGUCGGGUGUGAAAGCCCUCAGCUCAACUGAGGAAGUGCGCCCGAAACUGCAUGGCUCGAGUACCGGAGAGGAUGGCGGAAUUCCCCAAGUAGAGGUGAAAUUCGUAGAUAUGGGGAGGAACACCAGUGGCGAAGGCGGCCAUCUGGACGGAUACUGACGCUGAGACGCGAAAGCGUGGGGAG